UGUGUAGGCGGUUCUCCAAGUUUGGUGUGAAAUCUCCCGGCUCAACCGGGAGGGUGCGCCGAAAACUGGGGGGCUAGAGUGCGGGAUGGGAGAGUGGAAUUCCUGGUGUAGCGGUGAAAUGCGUAGAUAUCAGGAGGAACACCGGUGGUGUAGACGGCUCUCUGGACCGUAACUGACGCUGAGACACGAAAGCGUGGGUAGCAAACAGGAUUAGAUACCCUGGUAGUCCACGCCCUAAACGAUGCAUAUUUGGUGUAGGUCAUUCAGUUGAUCUGUGCCGGAGCUAACGCGUUAAAUAUGCCGCCUGGGGAUACAGUCGCAAGGCUGAA
rnacentral:rRNA from 1 species